rnacentral:rRNA from 1 species
GACGAACGCUGGCGGCGUGCUUAACACAUGCAAGUCGAACGAUGAAGCCGGAGCUUGCUCUGGUGAAUUAGUGGCGAACGGGUGAGUAACACGUGAGUAACCUGCCCUUGACUCUGGGAUAACUGCGGGAAACUGUAGCUAAUACCGGAUACGACCCUCGGAGGCAUCUCCUGGGGGUGGAAAGAAUUUAGGUCAAGGAUGGACUCGCGGCCUAUCAGCUAGUUGGUGAGGUAAAGGCUCACCAAGGCGACGACGGGUAGCCGGCCUGAGAGGGUGACCGGCCACACUGGGACUGAGACACGGCCCAGACUCCUACGGGAGGCGGCAGUGGGGAAUAUUGCACAAUGGGCGCAAGCCUGAUGCAGCAACGCCGCGUGAGGGAUGACGGCCUUCGGGUUGUAAACCUCUUUUAGCAGGGAAGAAGCGAAAGUGACGGUACCUGCAGAAAAAGCACCGGCUAACUACGUGCCAGCCGCCGCGGUAA